AGCAGCCGCGGUAAUUCCAGCUCCAAUAGCGUAUAUUAAAGUUGUUGCAGUUAAAAAGCUCGUAGUUGAAUUUCGGGAUCAAUAUGUCGGUCGUGCCUUGGUACGUACUGGUAUCAUUGGUCUCUCCUUUCUGACGAACCAUGAUGUCAUUAAUUUGGUGUUAUGGGAAGUUAGGACUGUUACUUUGAAAAAAUUAGAGUGUUUAAAGCAGGCUCACGCUUGAAUACAUUAGCAUGGAAUAAUGAAAUAGGACGUUUGAUUCUAUUUUGUUGGUUUCUAGGAUCGACGUAAUGAUUAAUAGGGAUAGUUGGGGGCAUUAGUAUUCAAUUGUCAGAGGUGAAAUUCUUGGAUCUAUUGAAGACUAACUACUGCGAAAGCAUUUGCCAAGGAUGUUUUCAUUAAUCAAGAACGAAAGUUAUGGGGGAAUCAAGACGAUCAGAUACCGUCGUAGUCUUAACCAUAAACUAUGCCGACUAGGGAUCGGAUGAUGUUAAUUUUUUAAUGACUCAUUCGGCGCCUU
rnacentral:misc_RNA from 1 species